GAUCUGUCAGCUUAAUUGCGUUAACGAACGAGACCUUUAAUUAUUAAUUAGUUAAAUAUAUAGUAAUAUAUACUUUAAAAAAUAAAUAUUAUUUUUUAUUUUUUCUUUUGACUUCUUAAAAUAACAAUUGGUGAUUAACCAAAGUAAGUUAAAGGCAAUAACAGGUCUGUGAUGCCCUUUAGAUGUUCUGGGCUGCACGCGCGUUACACUGAAAAUAUCAAUAAGUUUUUAUAUAUCAAAAACAAUUAUAUUUUAUAUAUUUGUUUUGAUAUGUCCUUGAUUGAAAAUUUGGGUAAACUUGAUAACUAUUUUCGUGAUGGGGAUUGAUAAUUGUAAUUAUUUAUCAUGAACGAGGAAUACCUAGUAAACGCAAGUCAUUAACUUGCAUUGAUUACGUCCCCUGCCCUUUGUACAC
rnacentral:rRNA from 1 species